rnacentral:pre_miRNA from 1 species
UUUGUACUCCCUCCGUCCGAAAAUACUUGUCCUAGAGAUGAAUGUAUCUAGACUUAUUUUAGUUAUAGAUACAUUCAUUAUAUUCAUUUUUAGGACAAGUAUU